rnacentral:sRNA from 1 species
GUUGGGUGUGGUGGCUGCACACCUGUAAUCCCAGCUGCUUGGGAGGCUGAGGCAUGAGGAUCGCUAAUUUAAAGCCAGCCUCAGAAAAUUAGCGGGGCUCUAAGCAACUCAGCAAGGCCCUAAGCAACUCAGUGAGACCCUGUAUCUA